GACGAACGCUGGCGGCGUGCCUAAUACAUGCAAGUAGAACGCUGAAGGAGGAGCUUGCUCUUCUGGAUGAGUUGCGAACGGGUGAGUAACGCGUAGGUAACCUGCCUGGUAGCGGGGGAUAACUAUUGGAAACGAUAGCUAAUACCGCAUAACAGUAGAUGUUGCAUGACAUUUGCUUAAAAGGUGCAAUUGCACCACUACCAGAUGGACCUGCGUUGUAUUAGCUAGUUGGUGGGGUAACGGCUCACCAAGGCGACGAUACAUAGCCGACCUGAGAGGGUGAUCGGCCACACUGGGACGGAGACACGGCCCAGACUCCUACGGGAGGCAGCAGUAGGGAAUCUUCGGCAAUGGACGGAAGUCUGACCGAGCAACGCCGCGUGAGUGAAGAAGGUUUUCGGAUCGUAAAGCUCUGUUGUAAGAGAAGAACGAGUGUGAGAGUGGAAAGUUCACACUGUGACGGUAUCUGACCAGAAAGGGACGGCUAACUACGUG
rnacentral:rRNA from 1 species